UACGGAGGGGGCGAGCGUUAUUCGGAAUGAUUGGGCGUAAAGCGUCCGCAGGUGGCUGUGUAAGUCUGCUGUUAAAGAGUCUAGCUCAACUAGAUACAAGCAGUGGAAACUACACGGCUAGAGUACGUUCGGGGCAGAGGGAAUUCCUGGUGUAGCGGUGAAAUGCGUAGAGAUCAGGAAGAACACCGGUGGCGAAGGCGCUCUGCUAGGCCGUAACUGACACUGAGGGACGAAAGCUAGGGGAGCGAAUGGG
rnacentral:rRNA from 1 species